UCCCUUGUGGUCCAGUGGCUAAGAUUCUGCACUCCCAAUGCAGGGGGCCCGGGGUUCAAUCCCUGGUCAGGGAA
rnacentral:tRNA from 1 species